rnacentral:rRNA from 1 species
UGGCCGCAGUACCCUGACUGUGCUAAGGUAGCAUAAUAAUUUGCCUUUUAAUUAAAGGCUAGAAUGAAGGAUUUGACGAAAGAAAAUCUGUCUCUACUUAUUUUAAAGAAAUUAACCUAGAAGUUAAAAGGCUUCUAUCUGCUAGAGGGACGACAAGACCCUAUAAAACUUUAUUUAUUAUAUUUAUAUCUACUUCAAGAAGACAAUAUAAAUUUAUAAAUUUUAUUGGGGCGAUAGAUAAAUAAACAUUAUCAGCCAUAACGUCCUUAACGAAAUUUAUAGAACGUUUUUAAACUAAUAACAAGCUACUUUAGGGAUAACAGCAUAAUUUCUUUUUAGAGUCUCUAUCGACAAAGAAGAUUAUGACCUCGAUGUUGAAUUGAGCUACUCCCUUUUAAUUAGACUUAAAGGGUAGGAGUCUGUUCGACUCUUAAUUACUC